rnacentral:rRNA from 1 species
UGGGCGUUGGAAGUUUGAGGGGACCUGCUCCUAGUACGAGAGGACCGGAGUGGACAGAUCUCUGGUGGACCGGUUGUCAUGCCAAUGGCAUAGCCGGGUAGCUAAAUCUGGAAGAGAUAAGCGCUGAAAGCAUCUAAGCGCGAAACUCGCCUCGAGAUGAGACUUCCCUGUGCUUUAAGCACACUAAAGAGUCGUUCAAGACCAGGACGUUGAUAGGUCGGGUGUGGAAGCGUAGUAAUACGUUAAGCUAACCGAUACUAAUUGCUCGUGCGGCUUGAUCCUAUAACCUUA